rnacentral:rRNA from 1 species
UACGGGGGGUGCGAGCGUUGUCCGGAAUCACUGGGCGUAAAGGGCGCGUAGGUGGUUUGAUAAGGGUGUGGUGAAAGUCCGGGGCUCAACCCCGGAUCUGCCGUGCCGACUGUCAAACUCGAGGACUGUAGAGGCAGACGGAAUUCCGGGUGUAGCGGUGGAAUGCGUAGAGAUCCGGAGGAAGACCGGUGGCGAAGGCGGUCUGCUGGGCAGUUUCUGACACUGAGGCGCGACAGCGUGGGGAGCAAACAGGG